UACGAAGGGUGCAAGCGUUACUCGGAAUUACUGGGCGUAAAGCGUGCGUAGGUGGUUUUUUAAGUCCGUUGUGAAAGCCCCGGGCUCAACCUGGGAAUGGCGAUGGAUACUGGCGGGCUAGAGUGCGGUAGAGGAGAGUGGAAUUCCCGGUGUAGCAGUGAAAUGCGUAGAGAUCGGGAGGAACAUCAGUUGCGAAGGCGGCUCUCUGGACCAGCACUGACACUGAGGCACGAAAGCGUGGGGAGCAAACAGG
rnacentral:rRNA from 1 species